GCUAUAGUAGGUUUUACUUACUGGAUGCAGCAAUUAGGAUGGAACUACAGCAUAUUUACGGAAAACAGGUGGAGUUGCUGAUAAAGCACUGAAAGAACAGAAGACGAGAGACCUACUGUACAAAGAGACAGAGCAGGUGGCCGUUACAAUGAUAAAGAGUCGAGCAGCUGCUGACUGAAGAAGCCUCUGUGUUUUGGUCAGGUCGGGUUAUGUUGUGUCUCCUCUGCAGGGAACCGAGGGAAACCAUCAGCAGAUCUGAGGCUGCAAACAGGCAGUGGGAUCCGUCUGACCUUCACUUUAACUGAGAGCUCCUGCUUAAACACAAACAAACACAUCUAUCCUUUAAAUACACUUGAAGAAUAGCCCAGUUUUAUCAAGCAGCAGUAAAACACCGGUGACAUUUUGUUAAAGCAAAGAUCUGUUAUUUUAAGCUCAAGCUGAAGGGAGCUCACGGGAAGCAGUGUGUGGAUAUUUUACACUCUCCUCUGUGAGAUCUUGAGGCACUCUUGCUAUGUACAAUUUCAAAAUGUGUUAUAAAAAUGUAACCGGACCAGUCAAAAACAUGAGUAGCAAUGCACUGUGAGGUAAAACCCAGAGCUUAAGGUUUACACUGUGUUUCCAUAUUUAGUGAUUCACAAGUGUUUUCCAUUUAUUUACGGUUGUAAAUUGCAUUAUGUUGAUGUUGGGAUGAUGGGAUGUUGAUCUCUGCUCUGUCGACUUUAGAUGUUGAAAAUUUUACUUCACACUUUAGCAAAGAGACUUCUAUUGACAUUUUAGUAGUUUUAAUAUAAUGUAUUAAAAAUA
rnacentral:lncRNA from 1 species